rnacentral:rRNA from 1 species
AACGAACGCUGGCGGCAUGCCUAACACAUGCAAGUCGAACGGGAUCCUAGCUUGCUAGGUGAGAGUGGCGGACGGGUGAGUAACACGUGGGAAUCUGCCUUUUGGUUCGGGAUAACCGCGGGAAACUGCGGCUAAUACCGAAUGCCCUCGAGAGAGGAAAGAUUUAUCGCCAGAAGAGGAGCCCGCGUCCGAUUAGGUAGUUGGUGGGGUAAAGGCCUACCAAGCCGACGAUCGGUAGCUGGUCUGAGAGGAUGAUCAGCCACACUGGGACUGAGAUACGGCCCAGACUCCUACGGAGGCAGCAGUGGGGAAUAUUGGACAAUGGGGGCAACCCUGAUCCAGCAAUGCCGCGUGAGUGAUGAAGGCCUUAGGGUUGUAAAGCUCUUUUGCCAGGGAAGAUGAUGACUGUACCUGGAGAAUAAGCCCCGGCUAACUUCGUGCCAGCAGCCGCGGUAAU